AUGAGCCGCCCCCUUACGCCAGAAAUUAUCAGCCUAGAUGAUUCGUUCGAACUUGCUGCAAAUUUAUCGACUGAAGGAUCUCAUGUUUUAAUACCUCAGCCGCCCCCACUACCCCCUCUCGAUUUUCUCAAUCUUCCGAGGCGUUCAAACAGAUUAUUAGAUAUCGAGCCCCCUGUAUAUGCACUUCCAAAGAAGCCUAAAGCCAAGCGUAAAAGAAAAAUGCCCGUCGACAGAAGUCCACCAAGACAAAAUAGCUCAUCAUCGGGUGAAAAUUCUAACAAUAUAUUUACUCAUAACGACUCUAGUAACAAAGAAAUUGAAGAUCUUACAUUACCGUUCAAAAAUUUCCCUUUAAUUUUACCUGAAAAAUUCUCAGGAACAAACAUCACCAUUGAAAAAUUCCUUGAGUCUGUAGAAGCAGCAAUUAAAGUCAACAAAUGGAACAAGGAUUUCCUCCCUCUUUUUGUCCAAAAAUAUUUGUCCGGAGCUGCGCUGCAGUAUUUAGAAUUUUUGAAAACCGAGCACCCUGUAUUAGAUUACGCUACCUUUAAGGCCAAAUUUAAAGAGCAGUUCGCGGAUACUUCAAAGGUAGGCAGGCUUAACCUACAACUACAAAACUUAAAAUUAGAAUCGGAUAAUUCAUUGAGAGAAUAUACAUACAAAGUAAGAACUCUUUGCAAAAAAAUUGAUCCCAAUAUGUCAGAAGAACAAGUAAUAUUCCAUCUCAUCAAAGGCCUACCAUUAGCAACAAAAACUAUCUUUUCUCUAUUCCCCCAUAGCACGUUAGCUGAAUUUGACAACUCUAUUGAUCUCUAUUUACAAAGGCAAUUACACCUAAAUCUAGAAACCCCCAAAGUUUCUCCGCCCAAGGUCAAAGAGGUUCAAUCUUCUCAAUUAACCGAAAUUCUCAAUAGGAUUUCCGGAUUCGAAGAAAAGUUGGAAAACUUGAAAGAAAGCAGCAAGCGAAAUUCCAACAAACCCAAAAAACCUAAGAACAAUCAACCUAACCAUGCUGCAAACCAACCCCAAUUCGAAACCGGUGGUUUUACCAAUAAUUUCAGGCCUAGAUUUCCAUAUCAAUAUUCCAAUAGAGGAAGAGGUAAUUUUUACCCAAAUCCUAGAUAUUUCUAUAACAAUUUCAAUCAAUUCAGACCGCAACAUUUUAACAACCAAGGGUUCCAACCACGUUACAACAACCCUCGAUUCCAAUAUUCUCCUAAUAAUUAUCCGAUUCAAACCCAAAGUUCCCCCGCUCCUCAAGAACAAAAUGGACCCAUUCAAAACUCUCAUAAUUCCACAACAUGUUCAAUUUGCGCCUCAAAUCACCCCACGGAAUCAUGUAGAGUUAGAUAUUGCCGAUCUUGUAGGAAAUUCGGCCACGUUGCCACAUCAUGUUAUAAAAAUAACGGCGACCAAAAUUUUCAGUAA
rnacentral:lncRNA from 1 species